rnacentral:lncRNA from 1 species
UCUCUUCUUUCUCUCUCUUGUCUCUUCAUCCCCGAUUUUCUCUAACUUCUCUUCUCUACAUCUAUCAUCUACCGACUUGUCUGUGUGAAUUUUUUCCCCUCUUGAUCUGAUGUUCUAAGCAAUCUGUUGUUUGAAAAUUUCCUUUAUUCCUUUAUUUCAAAACCCAUAAAUUUGCAAGACAACUUUGAUGAUAUUUCUUUCUUAAUUUUUUUCUAUAUCCUUCGAAUCCAUUUCUGUUUAAUGGUUUAAUUUGUUCUAUGAAAUUUCAGAUCUGAUAACUUUUAAAAUUUCACUAGUAAAGUUGUUUCUGAUCUUAAAAUCAUGUCAUUUUAUCGAUUUAGUUGAUUAAUUUUUUUUUAAAAUGUCUUCCCCAUAUUUUUUAAAAAAUCCUAAAAUUCUUUAGUCAAGAUAUGUAAAUUUUAAUAACAACGUUUGUAAGAUCCAUUCAAAUAUGUUUUAAGUUUUACCUUUAUCAAUUUCUUUACUAAAAUAUUAUUUCAUUUAAAU